rnacentral:rRNA from 1 species
CGCUUCUUUCCUCCCGAGUGCUUGCACUCAAUUGGAAAGAGGAGUGGCGGUACGGGUGAGUAACACGUGGGUAACCUACCCAUCAGAGGGGGAUAACACUUGGAAACAGGUGCUAAUACCGCAUAACAGUUUAUGCCGCAUGGCAUAAGAGUGAAAGGCGCUUUCGGGUGUCGCUGAUGGAUGGACCCGCGGUGCAUUAGCUAGUUGGUGAGGUAACGGCUCACCAAGGCCACGAUGCAUAGCCGACCUGAGAGGGUGAUCGGCCACACUGGGACUGAGACACGGCCCAGACUCCUACGGGAGGCAGCAGUAGGGAAUCUUCGGCAAUGGACGAAAGUCUGACCGAGCAACGCCGCGUGAGUGAAGAAGGUUUUCGGAUCGUAAAACUCUGUUGUUAGAGAAGAACAAGGACGUUAGUAACUGAACGUCCCCUGACGGUAUCUAACCAGAAAGCCACGGCUAACUACGUGCCAGCAGCCGCGGUAAUACGUAGGUGGCAAGCGUUGUCCGGAUUUAUUGGGCGUAAAGCGAGCGCAGGCGGUUUCUUAAGUCUGAUGUGAAAGCCCCCGGCUCAACCGGGGAGGGUCAUUGGAAACUGGGAGACUUGAGUGCAGAAGAGGAGAGUGG